CACACACUCAAGCACCCUCUGCCUCCUCCUGUCUUUCAUUGUCUAUCUGUCAUUCUGUUGAAUUAUCACAUGAAAACAAACACCGCUGCUGACGGGCAGUUGCCUCAGUGUGGACCUGUCAAUGUGUGACAUAAAAAAAGAAAAAAGAGCCCUUAUCCACACAUGCAAUCUCUGGAGGUAAUUCCCCGAGGAAUCAAUAACAAAUCCUCGCUGUCUGGAGAAAGUAUUGCUGUUUGGGAAAUAAGAUAGACUGUCGGAUAUUUCCGUACGUGACCACCGUGGACAUCCCUGACUGUCCGGGCUCUCUGAUGUACAUUUAACUGGACCCAAAGUGCACACAUAACCAAGAUUAGAGACGAGCAUUUUCCACAUCAUCAGCACGUCUUUGUUUCAUCUCGCAGAUCUCAUCAAUCGUGGAGAAUCUGCCUCUUGAUGGGUGACAUACUGAUCAUUUUUAUCAGGUGAUCCAGGUGAUUAAUAGAUGGAUUUUUUUGCCUGUUGGUUUUGUUGGUUUUUGUUUUUUGCCCUUUAUCCCCGUCCCUCUUCCCCGCUGUUUUUCUUUCCCUCUUUCUUUCCGCCAGUCAAGUCUGUCCCGUGUGUAGCAAGUGAAAAUAAAAUAAAAUAAACAAUAAAAGCAAAGGUGAAUCAAAUAGACCAUUACGGCAAGGCUGGGAUGGUCCAUUUGGUAAAGUAAAUCCGUUGGGCAUCUUUCUUUGCCUUUAGACAAAAAUUCUGAUGGUAAAAGAGCCAAACGGGACAGGCGGGGAAAAAAACAACAAAAAAAGACAAAAACAGCUUUUCUGGGGAAUAAGUGCGCGGUCAACAACAACGCUGUCUGCCUUUAGCUCCACCAUGAUUUCCCAAGUGGUAACACGCCCACACACACGCUGAGCUCACAGAGGAGCAAAGGGGACAUUAAAAAGUCAACGUUUUAUUCCAGACUCGACUGCAUUAUUGAUGGCAGGUGGCAGAGAGGAAGGGUGGAUGCGUGGAUUAAGCACAGGGCUGAGGAAUGUCAACAAAGAAGCUUCAAUAUUCACUAAGAGUGAGAAGUUAAGAAAACACAUCCGUUAUUGAGUCCAAUGAAUGAAUAUUUCUAUUAUUUUAACAUGUAAUGAGACUGCGGCUUGACUUUCAUAAGCAACAAAUGAUGAUUAUUAAGUAUGAAAACAAUGAACGGUUCGAUGCACUGAGGACAUAAAACAACUACAGCAAUCGCCUUUGUACAUGUGAAACAGACUCAUGCCAAAGUACCUUCCUGCAGCAGAAUUAUUAUUAGUGGUGCAGUAAUAGAGUUCUGAUGUUAUUGUUAGUGGGGCUGACAUAAACUGCUGGCUAUUGAAUCGUCAGUGUGUCACACUUGUGUGUAAAAUCUUCAAAACAAACAAACAACCAAAGAAAAAAGCUACAGCUGUAUGAUAACUGAGUAGGUGAAUAAAGAGCUGUGAGCGUGUGUAAAUGCACUUUGUUUCCUUCUGUAAUACAUCUGUAAAGUAUCUUUGAACUUGACAAAAGUGACAUUUUUUGAAAUAGGAGGAUGAAGUAACUCUGUCCGUUGAGUUCCGAUUGAGAGAGUUACCGAACUCCAGUUUUUGGGAGUAGUGAUGAUGAAUUAACAUGGAAAUCUCAUUUUGAAAAGAGGUGGUUAAAAAUAUUUAUAUUUUGGGCAAUGUCAGAGAUAUAUGAUUAUAUGGCAAUGCGUAUUUCAUAUUUCUCAGUUGCUGUGCUGAAGUGUGGGGGAAUACAUAUGCGAGUAACAUAAAACCUUUAUACUUGUUACAGAAGAAAGUGAAUUUAUUCUUCUUCCAGGGCGUGUGUGUAGGAAAUGAAAUACUGCUGAACCAUGUGUGAAACCAAUAAAUAAAAUGAAAAAUGAAAUAAAGUCUUCUUCUUCUCUCCAGAGCAUACCUCCACCUCUCCAGGCUCGUCGCUUCUACAUGUUCCCUACUCUGUCCUUACACCUGUGGUCUGCCC
ensembl:lncRNA